GUAGGUGGCAAGCGUUGUCCGGAAUUAUUGGGCGUAAAGCGCGCGCAGGUGGUUCUUUAAGUCUGAUGUGAAAGCCCCCGGGCUCAACCGGGGAGGGUCAUUGGAAACUGGGGAACUUGAGUGCAGGAGAGGAAAGUGGAAUUCCACGUGUAGCGGUGAAAUGCGUAGAUGUGUGGAGGAACACCAGUGGCGAAGGCGACUUUCUGGCCUGUAACUGACACUGAGGCGCGAAAGCGUGGGGAGCAAACAGGAUUAGAUACCCUGGUAGUCCACGCCGUAAACGAUGAGUGCUAAGUGUUGGGGGGUUUCCGCCCCUCAGUGCUGCAGCUAACGCAUUAAGCACUCCGCCUGGGGAGUACGGUCGCAAAGACUG
rnacentral:rRNA from 1 species